CCUACGGGGGGCAGCAGUGAGGAAUAUUGGUCAAUGGGCGAGAGCCUGAACCAGCCAAGUCGCGUGAGGGAAGACGGUCCUACGGAUUGUAAACCUCUUUUGUCAGGGAGCAAGGAGCGCCACGAGUUGUGCGGCGAGAGUACCUGAAGAAAAAGCAUCGGCUAACUCCGUGCCAGCAGCCGCGGUAAUACGGAGGAUGCGAGCGUUAUCCGGAUUUAUUGGGCUUAACGGGUGCGCAGGCGGAAGCGGCAAGUCAGCGGUAAAAUUGCGGGGCUCAAUCUCGCCGAGCCGUUGAAACUGCUCUUCGAGAGGGGGCGAGAAGUGUGCGGAAUGCGUGGUGUAGCAGUGAAAUGCAUAGAUAUCACGCAGAACUCCGGUUGCGAAGGCAGCAUACCGGCGCCCAACUGACGCUCAUGAACGAAAGCGUGGGUAUCGAACAGGAUUAGAUACCCUAGUAGUC
rnacentral:rRNA from 1 species